GCGACGUCGCGAGAAGUCCACUGAACCUUUA
rnacentral:rRNA from 1 species